GACGAACGCUGGCGGCGUGCCUAAUACAUGCAAGUAGAACGCUGAAGGAGGAGCUUGCUUCUCCGGAUGAGUUGCGAACGGGUGAGUAACGCGUAGGUAACCUGCCUGGUAGCGGGGGAUAACUAUUGGAAACGAUAGCUAAUACCGCAUAACAGUAGAUGUUGCAUGACAUUUGCUUAAAAGGUGCAAUUGCAUCACUACCAGAUGGACCUGCGUUGUAUUAGCUAGUUGGUGAGGUAACGGCUCACCAAGGCGACGAUACAUAGCCGACCUGAGAGGGUGAUCGGCCACACUGGGACUGAGACACGGCCCAGACUCCUACGGGAGGCAGCAGUAGGGAAUCUUCGGCAAUGGACGGAAGUCUGACCGAGCAACGCCGCGUGAGUGAAGAAGGUUUUCGGAUCGUAAAGCUCUGUUGUAAGAGAAGAACGAGUGUGAGAGUGGAAAGUUCACACUGUGACGGUAGCUUACCAGAAAGGGACGGCUAACUACGUG
rnacentral:rRNA from 1 species